rnacentral:other from 1 species
AUUUAAAUACACCCCAUGUUAUGGUUCAAC